AAGAGGGAAUAUUCGUUAGAAGGAAGACCUGGGAGUGGCUCUGUUAGGUCUGAAGAAUGAAAAGGGAGGGGAAGAGGAAUACACUGAGUGGCAGGAUGUGGCAAGGUUGAGGACAGCUAGGGAAAAUUCGCUCACAUAAUUAGAGUGUGCAAGUAGAAGUCUAUUUAAACCUGGAGGAAGGCAUAAGGGAACAGCUGGCUCUUGAACUCUAAUAUGAAUGGCAAAAGAAGGAAAACUACACACAGGCACAGAAAUAGAGAGCAAUCAAUAGAGAAUCAAGAAAAAGGGGGAGAAGGGAAAAGGAGAAUCAGAGAGAGUAAAUGAAGGGGGGAGUAAUUCUAAGCAAAACAAACUCUGAGGAUAUGUAAAACUAUUUAUGGCUCUUUUUUUCAGAGACAAAGAAUUGGAAACUGAGGACGUUUCUAUCAACUGGGAAUGACUGAACAAGUUAUGCUUAUUUUGCAGAUGAGAAAACUGAGGCAAAUAGGGUGACUUUCCCAGGAUCACACAGUCCUGGACUUGUUUACUUUGUUCUGACUCAUUCUCAUGUAAGUAAUUCGAUGCCUCACACAAUUCUAUCAAAGUGAACAAAUCAUACUAGGGGAAAUAGUGUUUGAAAAAUUUUUUUAGAUUUAGGUGUGCAACCCCUUAGAAAUUGUCUAUGGACAUGGCUAGCCGAUUCCUCAUUAUCGGCUUCUAGACCUAAGAUUGAAGCUGCCAUCUCUGACAGACAGUCUAUGUAUGUGGCAGGAUGUUCCCCUUUAUUCUGCAAGACCUUGUCAAACUUAGCCCAUGCAUUAGGUUUUGAACAGCAUUGUUUUAUGGCCUAUAGUAAGUCCUCCCUGCAUUUUCUUAGGUAGGAUAUGCAAGUAGGGUUAGUAAAGGCCAUAUCUAUCCUUUGUUCCACAGUUGGACAGCUAGUUAAAUUGC